UUUUUUGAACAACGGCUGAUGAAUAUCAAAAUUCAAUAUCUACAGCAAAAAAAAAAACUUAAAACAACCCAAUUUUUUCACAUAAGCUAGUCACCAUCUCUCUCUAUAUAUAUGCAUAUACACACAUGUAUGCAAGAUAUGAUGAGAUAUAAAGAAACAGUUAGCUUUCCCUGACUCCCAUGAAGACAAUGACCCAACAUCACCACCAUCAUCAUCAUUCAUCAUUUACCAUCAUCAUAACCAUCUCUUGUUGUUUGUCCCUUCUUUUAACCACUUGCUAAUACCUAGUGGCUACAUCCAGCUGCUUCUCCCUUUUCUAUAAAUUACUGUUCUUCACUUAUACUUUCAGCACUACUAGGUUUGGGAAGGUUCAAAAGAAGACCUAGCUAGGGUUUUCAGAAAGCUCAAAAAAUCUGAGCUGGUGAAAUCUCAGUUGAGAUCCGUUGUAAGAGCUCUCUUUUCAUCACUUUAUACCAUUAGUUUUGACUUGCUUGAGAUCUAAUCCCUUAUUGUUAUGUUUUAUUCCGGAUUUAGGUUUUUUCUCUUUACCUCGUUUUAUAAAUGAUCUGAUUCUAUAUAAUUCUAUCACCGUCUAUAUGGCUUACUUUGGAUCUAAUAUUUUUUCUUCUGCCAACAAAGGAAAAAAGAGAGGCUCUCUUCAUUUCUGGUUUUAGGGUUUUUUUUCUUGUGUUCAUGAUUCAAUUUUUUUAAUGAUUCAAGAAUUUUUUGUUUGGCAAUGUUGUACGAUUGUGCAUGGCUGAUGAGUACAUUUCUUCUAGUUUCUGUAGAGGUUUUAUUGUUUACUCCUAAUUGAAAACAGUAUACUAUCUCUGAUUUUGGAAUCAAAUCUCUUGCCCAAACCCUCCAGAAACUGAGGAUCUCUUGAGAAGGUUGAAUAUCUCUUGGUCAAAAAGCUUGUAGUGGGUUAAACAAAUUAUGUUUGUUUAAUUAUCUUUGUAUUUUAUUUUUUCUUCUCAUGAUCUGCAGUGACUGGAGGAAUCUUUUCACACAUGUACUGGACAUGUUUCCUUAUUUCGGCCUUUGUCUCUCUCCUGGUAGCUUCUCUUGACAAGACCCAUCAAUGGUCUUUCUUAUACAGUAAAGCUUGCUUCUUUCUGCGAAGUUUCAAACAUAUCGCUCAGCAUCCAAACCUUGUAAGUUAAUUCAUAUAUACAUGUAUAUACAUACAUUAUUUAACAUUCUACUUCACCGCUGAUAAAGUUAUAAAUACAUUCAAAUACCAUUUCAAACUAAAGUACAUAGGAGGCUUUCUUAGUUGGUCAAAUUUGUCUUGUUGUCGAUGGCCCAUUAUGACCAGUAAGUGCAUGUGCGUGAAACUAUAUUCCAUCCCUGUGUUUUCUUCUGUAAAAACCCAAACCUGCUUUUUAUAUGUGUGUGGCCCUUAAGUGCUUCAAUCAUACAUCUAUGAAGCAAGAUUGAAAUAGAUAGAUAUAGAAGGAGAUUCUUUCAGUCCAGUCAUGGAUAGAACAAGAAGAGGGUAGGAAUAUCUGCCGACUCAUUCAUCCAAACACUGAUGGUAAAAGGAUGAGAUUUCGACCAUAGUGACUGUAUGAAUGAUGCGGGAGAUGUUUUCAUCUCUCUUUAUCUGUGUUUGGACUGAAGGGAGCUCCUUCUUUCUCUAUUUAGUUCUUUUCUCAUGAUCUUUCAAUAUAUCAAAACAAAUUUGCAUUUUAGGACGUUAAUCAAGUUCAAAAUUGACAUCGAAUUGGAUAGAGAUUUACACUUUUUACCUCUCUCUAAUUAAGGAGUAUAUAUAUAUAUAUAUAUAUAACCAAGGUGAUUUAGUAGCUGAUGUCAAACAAUCUAGCUAGUGUUAUAUUCAAAGGUAUAGUCAUAUUUACAAGUACCCAAUUUCUCCCAUGGAUAUAUAUAAUACAUGCUAAGCUGUAACGAUAAACUCGUGUACUUCUUGUUUUUGGGAAUUGAAAUGACGACAUCAAAUGGGGAGAGAGAUUUUGUUCUUGCCUUAUUCAUGUUUUGUAAAAUAAGUAACUUUGUACUUGUAAUUUUUAUGUUCCCAAUGACUGGAGAUGGAGCAGGAAUGGUUUACAACGUAACUUCGUCGUUGUUUGCAUUCAGACGACAAUAUAUUAAAUUUUAUAGUAUUUGAAUUGACUACUUCUCUGGUUUUAAGAGUUAGAUUUCAACUUUUUAUUUUAUAUAUUGCAGAAUUUUGUAUAUUUUCCAUUUGGUUCGUA